ACUUAUAAUUCCUUAGCCUUGCUUCCUUGUACUUCAAGAUCAAGUUGCACUGAAGAAUUGGAUUGGAUCAAGCACUGAAAAGCUGCACUUCGAAGGUUGAUUCUCCAACUGUUUUCCUUCGAAUCUCCCUUAUUAUUGUGCAUUGCUUGGUUUGGUUGGUACCUCUGAAGUCCUCAUGUGAGAGGCAAUUGAUUAGUGCUUUUAAUUUUAUGAAUUUAACAAGUUCAGAUUG
rnacentral:lncRNA from 1 species